rnacentral:rRNA from 1 species
AAGCAGCAAUAGCUCAAAUUUGAAAUCUGGCGUCUUCGGCGUCCGAGUUGUAAUUUGUAGAGGAUGCUUCUGAGUAACCACCGACCUAAGUUCCUUGGAACAGGACGUCAUAGAGGGUGAGAAUCCCGUAUGCGGUCGGAAAGGUGCUCUACACGUAGCUCCUUCGACGAGUCGAGUUGUUUGGGAAUGCAGCUCUAAAUGGGAGGUAAAUUUCUUCUAAAGCUAAAUAUUGGCCAGAGACCGAUAGCGCACAAGUAGAGUGAUCGAAAGAUGAAAAGCACUUUGGAAAGAGAGUUAAAAAGCACGUGAAAUUGUUAAAAGGGAAGGGAUUGCAACCAGACUUGCUCGCGGUGUUCCGCCGGUCUUCUGACCGGUCUACUCGCCGCGUUGCAGGCCAGCAUCGUCUGGUGCCGCUGGAUAAGACUUGAGGAAUGUAGCUCCCUCGGGAGUGUUAUAGCCUCUUGUGAUGCAGCGAGCGCCGGGCGAGGUCCGCGCUUCGGCUAGGAUGCUGGCGUAAUGGUUGUAAUCCGCCCGUCUUGAAACACGGACCAAGGAGUCUAACAUCUAUGCGAGUGUUCGGGUGUCAAACCCCUACGCGUAAUGAAAGUGAACGGAGGUGAGAACCGCAAGGUGCAUCAUCGACCGAUCCUGAUGUCUUCGGAUGGAUUUGAGUAUGAGCAUAGCUGUUGGGACCCGAAAGAUGGUGAACUAUGCCUGAAUAGGGUGAAGCCAGAGGAAACUCUGGUGGAGGCUCGCAGCGGUUCUGACGUGCAAAUCGAUCGUCAAAUUUGGGUAUAGGGGCGAAAGACUAAUCGAACCAUCUAGUAGCUGGUUCCUGCCGAAGUUUCCCUCAGGAUAGCAGUAACGUUUUCAGUUUUAUGAGGUAAAGUGAAUGAUUAGAGGCCUUGGGGUUGAAACAACCUUAACCUAUUCUCAAACUUUAAA